GCAGACCACCGAUCUUUUUGAUAAGAAACCUCAUCGCUGAUUUACGGCCAGCGUGUCUGCAUCGGCUCGAUGAAAAGUGCGCGUGAAGUUUCUAUCAUCAUUGGAAGACCAUCAUCGGUGUUGAGGUCAACUGCAAGCGUGCCAAUCAAUCUCACCAUGCCACACGAGCCGAGGCCACCAACCACGAGCCCUGCUGUUGCGGCAUGGAUUGCUGUGUGGAUUGCAACGUCUUUGGUGAGGUCAUUCGUUGUGAUGUGCCUGGCGGCAUGAACAUCUCAGAGGUGGAUCUAUGGAAAGAGGAGAUUGGAAGGCUACGCUUGAAAGAGAGACGAAAGGUUGCGCUGUGGGAUAGACGAAAGGUUGUGCCUGCGCUACAUUUGGGAACUGGAGGAAAAGUGAAAAGAAUGAUGCAUUUUCUUUGUGUAAUCGGUGGUCAUGGUGGGUAAUUAUCCCCUAAAUUUAUGAGGGUAUUGGAAAGUAGUGUUUGUGAAGCACCAUUUUUAUUGCUUUAUAAAAAACGUGAAGUCAACCCUAACUUCACAUUUUUUUAGUGAAGCUAAUUUAUUGAAGUUGGAAGUGUUUGGCUAAA